ensembl:misc_RNA Metazoa_SRP Metazoan signal recognition particle RNA
GCCAGGUGUGGUGGCGCGCGCCUGUAAUCCCAGCUACUCAGGAGGCUGAGGCAGGAGAAUCGCUUGAACCCGGGAGGCAGAGGUUACAGUGAGCCGAGAUUGCCACUGCACUCCAGCCUGGGUGACAGAGUGAGACUCUGUCUCAA